GACCUGCUGAAGGCUGCAGUGCAGGCUGCUCAGUCUAAUUCAGCAACAGCAGUCAUGGAAAAGGAGACUAUCAGUGGACACAGAAAGAUGCAGCGUUGACAACACGGCUCACAGUCCACCACCUGAGAGUGUGGAGCCAAAAUGAAUUCCUCCAUCGACAGAUGUGCGUCCCCAUGUGCCGAUAAAGGGACGGAGCCGAUAGAGGGAUUGACAGUAUGAUGGAGGAAGAGAAGGAGGGGAACAAAAGGAGAGGUGACAUCAUGAGAAUGGACCUCACCCCGAAGGUAUGGACGAGCUUCUCAUCACUCUCUUACUGUCUCAUCAUCGUGUUGACUGGCUGGCAUGCCUGAGGACACAAGACAGCCAGACAUAGACACUGGCAGGU